UAUACCCCAUUAUUUGCCCGACCCCUGUCUGCUCAGUUUUAGGUUGGGGUGACCACGGAGUAUAAAAUAACCUCCAUGAAGAAGGGGAUAUUUCCCUUAUUAGAGAACCACACUUCCAAGAACUAAUAAAUUAAUUUUCAAUGACCCGAUACCCGAUAAUCGAUCAACGAACCAAGUUACCCUGGGGAUAACAGCGCAAUCCACCCUGAAAGCCCUUAUUAACAGGUGGGUUUACGACCUCGAUGUUGGAUCAGGGUAUCCCAGUGGUGCAGCAGCUACUGAGGGUUCGUUUGUUCAACGAUUAAAACCCU
rnacentral:rRNA from 1 species